AUUGAACGCUGGCGGCAUGCCUUACACAUGCAAGUCGAACGGCAGCACGGGUGCUUGCACCUGGUGGCGAGUGGCGAACGGGUGAGUAAUGUAUCGGAACGUGCCCAGUCGUGGGGGAUAACGUAGUGAAAAUUACGCUAAUACCGCAUACGAUCUAUGGAUGAAAGCGGGGGAGCGCAAGACCUCGCGCGAUUGGAGCGGCCGAUAUCAGAUUAGGUAGUUGGUGGGGUAAAGGCCUACCAAGCCGACGAUCUGUGGCUGGUCUGAGAGGAUGAUCAGCCACACUGGGACUGAGACACGGCCCAGACUCCUACGGGAGGCAGCAGUGGGGAAUUUUGGACAAUGGAUGCAAGUCUGAUCCAGCCAUUCCGCGUGCAGGAUGAAGGCCCUCGGGUUGUAAACUGCUUUUGUACAGAACGAAAAGGCUCUGGUUAAUACCUAGGGCUCAUGACGGUACUGUAAGAAUAAGCACCGGCUAACUACGUGCCAGCCGCCGCCGUAA
rnacentral:rRNA from 1 species